rnacentral:misc_RNA from 1 species
GAAAAAUGAAGAAAAAUGCAUGAAAUGGUGGCAUAUGAGGAUUCACACCUAGGGCAUGAAAAUCACCAUCACGCAUGCUCAGGGGGUGAGAAAUGGAUAAGGCAGACUUUCUCCCCUAACAAACCUAACAUGUGGAUUGGAGGAGAGGAGAUAUCAGAACCAUUUUUGGAUGAUUCGAAAAACUAUGCACACCAAAUUUCUCCCAAAAACACUCAAACACUUUCUAGAUUUCUAUCUUGGAAGUAGAUUCAAGCCUUUUGAGUAGAUUUCUAGAGACUUUGGCUCUUGGAGGGGGAUUAUACACAUCAUCUAUUAUAGGGUUUGCUUUUCUUUUUCUUUACUUUUGAUUGAUACUCGUUUUGUUUGGAUAAUAUUUGGAUUUGAAUGUAUGAGUUUUGAUUUUAUUUUUGUUAGCAUGAGUGACUAAAUCUUUUAGCAAGG